UACGGAGGGGGCUAGCGUUGUCCGAAGUUACUGGGCGUAAAGGGCUCGUAGGCGGCCAACUAAGUCGGACGUGAAAUCCCUCAGCUUAACUGGGGAACUGCGUCCGAUACUGGAUGGCUUGGAUUUGGGAGAGGGAUGCGGAAUUCCAGGUGUAGCGGUGAAAUGCGUAGAUAUCUGGAGGAACACCGGUGGCGAAGGCGGCAUCCUGGACCAAUAUUGACGCUGAGGAGCGAAAGCCAGGGGAGCAAACGGG
rnacentral:rRNA from 1 species